AGAGUUUGAUCCUGGCUCAGGAUGAACGCUAGCGGCAGGCCUAAUACAUGCAAGUCGAACGGUAAAAUCCCCUUCGGGGGAUUGAGAGUGGCGGACGGGUGCGUAACGCGUAUGCAACCAACCCCCCUCGCCGGGAUAGCCGGUGGAAACGCCGGAUAAUACCGGAUGCGCCGGCGGGGAGGCAUCUCCCUGUCGGCAAGGCGGCGACGCGGAGGGGGACGGGCAUGCGUGCCAUUAGCUGGUUGGCGGGGCGACGGCCCACCAAGGCUACGAUGGCUAGGGGAUCUGAGAGGACGGUCCCCCACACUGGUACUGAGACACGGACCAGACUCCUGCGGGAGGCAGCAGUAAGGGAUAUUGGUCAAUGGGGGGAACCCUGAACCAGCCAUGCCGCGUGAGGGAAUGAGGCCCUACGGGUCGUGAACCUCUUUUAUCUGGGGACAAUACGGGGCACGAGAUGCCCCGUUGAGGGUACCAGAGGAAUAAGCAUCGGCUAACUCCGUGCCAGCAGCCGCGGUAAUACGGAGGAUGCGAGCGUUAUCCGGAUUCAUUGGGUUUAAAGGGUGCGCAGGCGGCUCGUCAAGUCAGCGGUGAAAGCCCGGGGCCCAACCCCGGAAGUGCCGUUGAUACUGUCGGGCUGGAAUGCGGUCGAGGCGGGCGGAACGUGGCGUGUAGCGGUGAAAUGCGUAGAUAUGCCACAGAACGCCGAUAGCGAAGGCAGCUCGCCAGGCCUGCAUUGACGCUCGGGCACGAAAGCGUGGGGAUCGAACAGGAUUAGAUACCCUGGUAGUCCACGCCGUAAACGAUGGGCGCUCGUCGUCGGCGGCAGAAUGUCGGCGGCCAAGCGAAAGCGAUAAGCGCCCCACCUG
rnacentral:rRNA from 1 species